AAUGAACGCUGGCGGCGUGCUUAACACAUGCAAGUCGAACGAUGAAGCCUAGCUUGCUAGGUGGAUUAGUGGCGCACGGGUGAGUAAUAUAUAGAUAACGUACCUCUUAGUCUGGGAUAGCCAUUGGAAACGAUGAUUAAUACUAGAUACUCCUUCUAACUAUAGAGUUAGUUGGGAAAGUUUUUCGCUAAGAGAUCGGUCUAUAUCCCAUCAGUUAGUUGGUAGUGUAAGAGACUACCAAGACAAUGACGGGUAGCGGGUUUGAGAGGAUGAUCCGCCACACUGGUACUGAGACACGGACCAGACUCCUACGGGAGGCAGCAGUGAGGAAUAUUGCACAAUGGGGGAAACCCUGAUGCAGCAACGCCGCGUGGAGGAUGACGCAUUUCGGUGUGUAAACUCCUUUUAUAUGUCAAGAAAAUGACGGUAGCAUAUGAAUAAGCACCGGCUAACUCCGUGCCAGCAGCCGCGGUAAUACGGAGGGUGCAAGCGUUAUUCGGAAUCACUGGGCGUAAAGGACGCGUAGGCGGGUUGCCAAGUCUGAUGUGAAAUCCUAUGGCUCAACCAUAGAACUGCAUUGGAAACUGGUAAUCUAGAGUAUGGGAGGGGGAGAUGGAAUUAGUGGUGUAGGGGUAGAAUCCGUAGAUAUCACUAGGAAUACCGAAAGCGAAGGCGAUCUCCUGGAACAUUACUGACGCUAAGGCGUGAAAGCGUGGGGAGCAAACGGGAUUAGAUACCCCGGUAGUCCACGCCCUAAACGAUGUUCACUAGUCGUCGGGAUGCUAGUCAUCUCGGUGAUGCACUUAACAGAUUAAGUGAACCGCCUGGGGAGUACGGUCGCAAGAUUAAAACUCAAAGGAAUAGACG
rnacentral:rRNA from 1 species